rnacentral:lncRNA from 1 species
CCCGUAACAGAGAAGUGAUCGAAUGAUGUUUCUUUACCGUCAAAAUUAGCUACGUUAUCGACAAACUUAAUUGAGUAGUGACAACUAUUGGUACUUUAACGUUAAAAAGAUUGACAAUGCUGACAAACUUUCAUGUGUCGAUAAUCAAGUUUGAUACCGAUAAUAUUGAAAAUAAUUCUAAUAAUAUGAAACAAAAUAUGUC